AGAGAAGUAUGUGAGGGUAGUGCAGGAUAUGUAAGAGGAUAGUGUGACCAGUGAGAUGUGCAGUAGGAAUGACAAAUUUAUUCAAGGUGAAGCUGGGAUUACACCAAGGAUGAGCUCGGAGUCCUUUCUUGCUCGCAAUGGUGAUGGACAGGUUGACAAAUGAGAUCAGACAAGCGUCUUCAUGGACUAUGAUGUUUGCAGAUGAGAAUGUAUACUUACAGU